rnacentral:rRNA from 1 species
CCUUCCGCGCUUCGCUGCGUCGGUAGGUGUUCUGGGACUUUUACUUUGAGAAAAAUAGAGUGUUUCAAGCAGGCUUGUUGCCCUGAAUACUGCAGCAUGGAAUAAUAAGAUAGGACCUCGGUUCUAUUUUGUUGGUUUCUAGGACCAAGGUAAUGAUUAAUAGGGACAGUUGGGGGCAUUCGUAUUUAACUGUCAGAGGUGAAAUUCUUAGAUUUGUUAAAGACGAACUACUGCGAAAGCAUUUGCCAAGGAUGUUUUCAUUAAUCAAGAACGACAGUAGGGGGUUUGAAGACG